rnacentral:rRNA from 1 species
UACGGGGGGGGCAAGCGUUGUUCGGAAUUACUGGGCGUAAAGGGUUCGUAGGUGGCCAAUUAAGUCAGACGUGAAAUCCCUCAGCUUAACUGGGGAACUGCGUCUGAGACUGGAUGGCUUGAGUGCAGGAGAGGAACGCGGAAUUCCAGGUGUAGCGGUGAGAUGCGUAGAUAUCUGGAGGAACACCGGUGGCGAAGGCGGCGUUCUGGACUGCAACUGACACUGAGGAACGAAAGCCAGGGGAGCAAACGGG